rnacentral:tRNA from 1 species
GGGUGCAUAGCUCAGCUGGGAGAGCACCUGCCUUACAAGCAGGGGGUCACAGGUUCGAUCCCUGUUGUGCCCA